AUUGUAGGAAAGUGCUCGAGAAUAAUUCCAUUAUCAUAUUAAAUUCAUAAAUUCAAUCAUUUGUGACAUCAACUUCUGGGACAUUCUGUAUAGUAAACUAGAAACAAACUUCCCAGCACCCCAAAGAAUAUUAAGUUCUUCGAUGCAAUAAUAAGAAUAAUUAAUGUUAAAAUGGGUACGAAUAUUAAUCGGACUCACUGUACAUUUGGAGUCUUAUAUUGUAUAGUAUGUACAGAUCAAAUUGUUGAACUCAAUAGUUGAACACAUUCUGAAUAGUAAUGACCUCCAUGGCUGGAAAUCGUGUUACGUUGCGUCGUAUUAAAUGUGUUCCAUUCGUCUCAUACAUUCAUGCUUCUCUCAAUCAUCUUUUACAGGAAUAUCCAAGCAUUUAUUAAUUCAACACUAUUUUACUAUUUAUAACAUAAAAUUCUUUCAAGAUACAGAUAUUUAUUUCAUUCACCGUGCUCAUUAAUCGAUGUACUAUUCUCUGUUGUACAUUAUAUCCUAUUAUUAUAUAUAUGUUCUAUUAUUUUAUUUUAAUGACAGUAUGAUUAUGAAUUUAUGUCAACAAUUAAAAGAUUCAAUGUUAAGGCGCUCACAAUCUAGAAAUAAAUAUUUUAAGUAAAAGUCAUUUUUGUCUGGUUCAUUCGAUUACGUCCGUAACACGUCUAUGUUGUCAUCAUUUUAUCAACAAUGAAAUUUAAAGGGUUUUAUACAGUAAAUACGUAAUUUGCACGUAAAUUGGCAUUUAUAGAAGGCACAAGUUCCUCGGAGUCUUAUUAUGAGUAAUAUAAUGCGUACUAAAUUAUAACUUCUGCUUAAUAUUAUAUCAUCGCGCGUUGAUAAUAGCAGAUUAUAACAAAAUGAUACUUUCGAAUCAGUUUCAAUCCGCGCGUUUUUUAAUCCGCACGGUGGUGCUAUCUAUGCGGUGGACAAACAGGUUACUAACUUCGUCCAGUCGAUGUCGACGGUACUCCAUUUUGUUUCACGAUGUUCCACACGCACGCAUGAAUAUAUUGUUCGCAGCACGAGAUAACAACAAAAAAUCAGCCGAGCAACGAAAGAGAAUAAUGCUGGACUUACCGCUUACGAAGCCUGUAGACUGCUGUUUCAGCCUUACCCCGGCGUUGCAGCCGAUGUCUAGGACUACGUAUUUCCGGUCCGGAUGGGACGACCGCCACACGCCACACGGAAGUUGCCGCACGCGUUCUUCCGCAGGAUGGAAUUGAAUCGAAGGACAACGAACCCGUAAAUAGUUCUGUUUGAUGAUGCAGUUACUAUGAUUAGUCAUCAGUGCUAUCGUCAUCUUCAAUUCCGAAACGUGUAACGCUUUGAGGUAAUGUAUUCUACAACAUUCCCUGACUUAUGUUCUUCGUAAGAUCACGUCAUUGUGCCCAAUGUCGUAAACAAAUGUGUCAGUGUAAUUAGAAUUUGCUAGAAAAAGUAAUAAAACAAUUUUCUUAAUUGAUUUCGGGAAAGACCAAUGAUUGUUAAAGUUCAUUUCAUUCUUUGAAAAGUUAUCGUUUUAAAAAUUACUAUUUCAACGAGCUGUCUUUGUUCAAAAUAGAAUAAUACAUAAAAAAUGCUUUUCCUUGAAUGAAAAAGCUAACCACUCGCGAACACAAAUUAACUCUUACUAGUAGUUAAACUCUUAGUAGUUAUGUAAUGUUAAAAAGUUUGUGAUAAAAACUGUUGGAUGAUAUUCCACAAGCUUCGAGUUUGUUGGAAUUUUAAAAAAUACAAAGUAAAAACAAAUUUACGUGGACUUGAAACGAAGUAUUAGAAAUUGUCGUACGACAUAAGAGCUGUCCACUAGAAGGGUAAAUAUUUCUCCGGCGCCUCGCAACUUAAUGCGAAUGGGGCGAGUAGGACAGCCGGCUUGUUCAUUUCUCCCUUUUAUCCCUUUCCUUUCCUCCCCCGAAAAUAUCCCGUUGAAUCUCCGGUCAGGUAGGCGUUCAACGUCCCCGGAAGUUGGUCGUAAGGCGAUCCCCUCUCGCAUCCGGCACAUUGAUCGCUGUCGUUUUCCAAGCCGUGGAAAUCCGCUUUUUCCGGAUUUUCGUAUCGGGCACAAAACGACGGCAAACUACGAAGGCGACAAAAGGAGCCAGCGGCGAGGCGUUUCUAAACCGGUGGAAAUCACAGCGAGAGGAAACGGCAGGACAAUUAAUACUUACACACGCUUCUUAUAUUGAAUGGCAACGAAAAUUGACGUAGAUCGCACGUGGUGUACGUGUUCGAACCAAUUUCCCGGGGAUUCUCCGCAAACACGAAUGAAGUCGUGUUUGAGUUUCACCGCUUUUGAAAGUCUCAAAGACCUCGCUGUUCUGAAUUUAUCUCGGGGAUUAGAGCUUUCCUUGUCGAUUCCCUCCAGAUAUACAAUUGGUCACAAAUAUAUUGGAACAUCUUAACAGAUUUGGAAAAACCAGAUUUUGUUUGACUUAUUUUGGAGCAUAUUUCAAUCUAUGAAUUAUUUUCUCGAAGACGGAUAAAAUAAUUGGAAUUGUAAUUUUAGUUAUGAUGCAUACAGAAAAUUUAUCUACAACAGCAUUAAAAUCGGCUAGUUUGAUAGAGUGUACACAGAGUAUAUUGGACAAGGAAUGCUAUUCAAGGGAAAUAUCGUAUGAUGUGUCGUACGAUUGCGACGGAAGUGCGUCUUAUAAGUGGCACCGUCAUAUCCGGAAUAAGAACUGAGGAAUUCUAAUUCAGUCGAGCCGGGUAUGGUUUGAAAUCUGUUUGCUCAGCCGCUUCUGCUCGUCCUUUUGUGCUUAUUGCCGGCCACUAUAAUCCGGCACAAGUCCUCUUCCGACAUAGUCAAUUACGAAUUAUUAUUGGAAACGUGGGAAUGUUCUCGCACGUUUACGAGCACGCCGCUUAUCAUUUCCGUGACUGGUGCUGCGCUGUAAUCUGACGCAAUUUCUCGCGAAAUCGAUAACGCCGGUAUUUUCGACUUCAUUGUUCUCUACACGGAACUGAAACCUCAAUAUUCCUCUACGUCCAUACGAUAUACAGGAGUAUGACGUUUAAAGUCAAUAGAAUUUUAUGUAUUACUUAAUACUGAUAACCUUCUUGAAAAUGAAAGAGUAAUUUCUAUUGAAUUGUAAUAAUGAUUGCGAAAAAAACCGUAAUUAUAAAAUCAGCCUUCAAAAUGAAACCGUCACGAAACAAAGUUAUCGUAAAUUUAUCAUUUAUGAGUGAAGUCUUAUGCUAAUUUGUAAUUUACAUUUUCAUAGCGAGUUUAUUCAAUGCCAACGUACGUCCAGUAAGUAGUUGAAGCAUAUUUCGCGCCUGUGUAUUUAACGAAUAUUUCAUCCCAAACAACAAAUUUAGCAAAUUGAGAAGUUAUUAUAUUAUUUUACAGCCUAUAACAAAAAAAAGUAUCUACGAAAUUAAUUUGUUUAAAUAUACAGGAAAUAAGAAAGGCAUGUCUAUUUUCAAUUUCUACAUUAUCUACGUUCAUCUGUUUUUAGCUAUCUCUUGGAAGAAUACCUAUUCCGUUUUACAAACAUGUACUACGCUAGAUUUAUUAUCCGUUUUAUGUAAACCGAAUUGCGGUAAUGAGGAUUCACUUCAGUGUCGCGGUUUCUAGAACGUUUCCGUUUCCGUGUCAAUAAUUCUAAUACAGCUUGGCAGACCGUUUUCUCGUUCAAGAGACAUAUACUUAAGAUCUUAUUACAGAGAUAUAUUAAAUUCUCUUAUAUCUACUUAUAAUGAGUUUACAGUUUUAUCAAUAUUUUUGUUUGGUAAGCAUGUUUAUAUGAAUUCGUAGAACAGAUUCCACGUAAUUUAGAAAUCCCGUGCAUUGUAUAAAAAUGAACUGUAGGAAAAUCCGGUUGAAAAAUAAUACUCGCUUUUAUGAAACUAUCGGUUCCUUGAAUUAAGCUAAUCGAAUGGAAAAAUGAAUAUCAUUGUUUUUAAUGCUUGCAAGAGAAGUCUAACAAUCCGUUGAACGUGAAUCUUGGAAAGUGUAAUUUACAACAAUGUAAAACAUGAUGACAGAAGCAAGAAGUCCCGUACGCGAUUGCAAUUUCCGUGGCUGCGCGCUACGGCAGCGAAACGUACAUUGCAUCCGGUUCGUCUCUAAUUCGCCGUUGAAAGUCCCACGGUCCACAGGAAGAACGAGUAAAACUGGAUCGUGGAGGAAGACACAUUAGGUUCUUCACUAGGGGAAAGCAUUACAUGUUUUUACGUACACGUUUGUUACUUAACGAAUCAAAGUACGUAUCUUCUUGGGAAGUGUUAUGCUCGUCUCUACCAGUUCGUAACUGGUCUUGCGUGAAAAAAGAUGUGCACGAAUAUUUAUGGACAUCACUGUAGCUUGGCACAUCUAGUGUAACCCUAUUACUGAGAAUACAUUCGAACAUAAGGUACUUCAUAUUGACGUCGAUAUCGACUACUAUCUCUACUGUCAGUACAGAUUCUCUCAAUGGCCUUCAGUCGUACUCAAUAAAUUCUCGUACAUACAAUUCCAAGGGGUUCAACCGUGUAACUGGGUCAUUCCGACAAGGAUACGUCGCGAAUUCAAUUUAUCGAGCUUGUGUUUGAAGCCACGAGAAAAACCUCGUACGAUGUCAAGAUCGGCUUGAAAUCCUUCUCAUUGAUUCGUAUGGAGAUCAUUUUCUCAUCGAUUCUUUAAACUUGCAAGACUUCUUUGUAUGUGUUAUUAAGUUAAGUUUGUUUUAUCUAAUUGCACAACCAGAUUUCUUGAAUUCAUUAAAAAUCUGACAACCUUAUCCAUUUUUUUUAUUAAGUGAUUACUUAAACACAUUUAGAUUUGGUCUUUAGAAACAGUGGAUAUCAUUCUCAUUAGUAUUACAUACAGUUAAGAGUAAAACUGAACAUACACUAUUUAAAAUUGAAUAACUUUUCUAAAAUCGGACCAAACGAGUUUUUGUAGUAGUUUAGGUGGAUUAGUUUACUAAUUAAACAAUCAAUGCAUUUUGCACUCUUUACGAGCGAUAAGUCCAUUCUGUAAUCUUAUUUUAUUAAUUGCAAAAAUUCUGGUUUAAUCAUAUUGUCUAAUACUUCAAAAAUUCUCCUCUUUGCAUUGUGCAUUCUUACUCCAAGGCAUAAAGGACGCUUCGCUCCUUUCAAGCUCUUCAUCUACCAUUAUCCAAUCCACAAUCAUGACCCUGUGACUCGUGCGAUGAAGCAAGAGUUCGUUAGCUCGGUUUAGAAACGUAAGAUCGGCUCGACCUCGAAAUCGAUAUUGCAAAGAACACGGUGACGCUGUCCUGGUCGGCCAAAUUCAACCUGUGCGCCUGGGGAGACGAAGGUCGAUGACGUAGAAAAAAGGUGGGAUGAUGCUUUAUCAUGCGGAGUGGUGUGCCGAUCCUUGGCUGGUUGCGAAAGAACCGAGAGUUGCUUCGUGAAACGACGACCAGGGAUUGGCUCGAUUUCCUCACGUGCCACACCGCGAGCUGACCGAUUGAGAAACGACCGUGAUAACGAGAUCCAUAAAAUCCAUCGUUUCUCUCGCCUCCUGUCGGAGAUCGUACGUUUUUCAUCAUUGUGCUAGUUGAAAAUUCUAUUUCGCCACAAUCUGAUCUGAUUCUAAAAUUUUCUGACAAUUAAUUCAAGCAAAUGUCUCCUUUCAUUAUCAGUACAUAUUUCUAUUAAUACGUUGUGCGAAAACUCUGUACGCGAAUCAAUUGAUUUCCUAGACAAAUCAAAAGUAUCUUUGUUAUUUCCACGAUAUAAGAAAGAGCAUUGAGAUAAUAUUAGAUAACACGUCUGUAGUAUUGUAUGACCCAUUCAACAUAAAUGAGCCGGAAGGGAGAUUUGGGAGGAAGGGGAAUAGAAUCCGAAAUAUGCUAUUAUUUGUCACAUACUAAUAAGUAUUUUACCACUAUAUGUAUACACAGAUGUGAUUUGUGCAUUGAAUGCGGUCUGAUUAGAAUUAAAAAUUUAGAUGUUAUUAAUACAAGUCAUCGCUGUAGUGAUCAUCUACUAUCAAUAACAGCUAUAUCGGUCUGAAUAUUCAUAAGGCAUAGGGCAUCCCAUUUUACAUUACACCAACAAAGAUUCCAUCAUUGCAAUUUCAAGCACUGCAUUCGCAGAAUGCCGCAUUUUAUUGGUAUUGCAAUUUUUAUUUAUUAAUAUCUCAGAAAGUAAUCAAGGCCCGGAGCUAAGAUUUUAUGUUCCAUGUAUCCUCCUGCUGUCCGCUAUAUCACUUAUGAUAGACUUUAUUCUGACGAAUGCGUCAUAUCGUACUUUAUCCAAUAAUACGAGCGACUGCGAGCUAGCGUAUACGGUUUCGCAAUAAUCAAUGAAACAUAUAUACUGUGAUAACAGUUAUUCAUAUUUUUGUUCUACUCGUCCGGUUGCAUCAGCGUGUUGCGACAGCGAGUUCGUGCGAAACUCGCGUCAAAAUCGCGUCUCGUCUCACGUUCCUGAAUGAACACGGCCAAUAUUCUUUCGUCUGGCAAAAUUAAUAACGUUCAAGGUAAACCUGGCUCGGCGACCAAAUCGAGUAACGUGAAACAAAUUAAAUUUCUUGCUGUUCAAAACUACGUAACAGGAGCGAAUGAGAAACUGCUGAAUAGCAGAUGAAAAGCGUAGGUAGGUGAUAAAAAUAUGUGUAAACCGUUGGAGCAGUUACAGUUCUUUUUUUCGAUUCGAUCUCGAAAUAGAAUUUUCACGAGUGAGGUAGUUUAUAUUCGAGGACAAUCGGAGGAUUGAACGUCUUCAAUAACGCAUGAUUUACCAAUCCUCCGCUCCUCUCGUUCGCUCUUUUUGCCUCUUGGUCGCCUCUCCUUCUGGCCUUCGUUCGGCCAGGUAAAACCUGCCAGGCUAGCCAAGUUCAAUGCGGGAAUGAAUGAGCGUACGAUACGAUACUACCUAAGAGACGAUUGCAGCAUGCCGCUUCCGGUAUGUGUUUGAGCAUUUCGAAAGAAAAUACGUUGGCGAACCCUUUGCUUGGGUGUGCUUUAUAGUCACGUUUGAGGAACACCUUUUAACGGCGAUAGUGUAAUCGGAGACCAGUCCCACCGAUAUAAAGAUACUUUGGAACUCGUUUGCAUAUUCUGAUAUUGCGGAAUUGAUCGAAAAAAGAACGGAGAAAGAUUUAGCAUUGUGUAAGUAACGAAUAGAACAUUAUUAAAAGUAAAAAAAUUAACGUUCCAAAUGUAAAAAUAGCAUUUUUGUAAUACAUGACCCUCUGAAAUAUGAACUCUGAUCCAAUAAUUUGUUUUUACGUAAACAAUAAUACCAAACAUUUGACUGUGAAAAUGUUCUUUUCUGAAUCGUAAUUGGCGCUAUAGAGGUUGACACUCUUCUAUACACGUGCCCGCUUGUUAAAAAGUGUUACGAAGCCGCCGAUGCAAUUACGCGCCUGUCCGCUCGCUUGGUUGCGCGCGUGCGGUUACGUUAAGAACAUGUAUACGUACAGACUUAUCUAAAAAAAAUAGUUCUCAUUGAAACUGAUAAAAAAUGUCCUAGAUCUCAAAAUUGACCGUAAAGUCAUUUUACAAUGACAACAAACCUUCCUUACCGAUAUUACGAGGUUGCUCAAUAAUUAUAGAAGAGGGACCGCGACUAACUGAUCAGAUUUUCUACUUACACUUGUUGCGCGUACGUAUAUAAGUGUAAAAAGUGU